GUAAUAUUGUUUUUGUUAUGUCAAUAUCAACUACCUUUUUGUAAGCUUGCUAGCUCUUAUAUAUUUGAAAAUACAUUCAUUUUGGGAAAGACAGACAGACGGACAUGAAUUUAGAAACUAACCAUGGCAACUACUCGAUAACGUAGAAGUUGUGAGCCUUCAAUUCCCUCCUGCGCCCCAUGUUGGUGGCCAUGAUGGUGUCCAUGAAAAUGUUCGGCAGGGGCCACGGCGGCCAUCUCUUGAUCUCCGGCCACAAAUUGAUCCUCCGGUUUAACCCCGGCACUAUUUUUCCGGCUAUAAACGCUAGUUGCCAUUGAGUCCACCAUUAAAGUAAC
rnacentral:lncRNA from 1 species